rnacentral:rRNA from 1 species
UACGAAGGGUGCAAGCGUUUGCUCGGAAUUAUUGGGCGUAAAGGGUAGGUAGGUGGUGACAUUUGUCUGGGGUGAAAUCCCUGAGCUUAACUCAGGAAGUGCCUUGGAAACGGUGUCACUAGAGUACUGGAGAGGUUCGCAGAAUUUCUUGGGUGUAGCGGUGAAAAUGCGUAGAUAUUGGGGAGGAACACCAGUGGCGAAGGCGGCUCACUGGACCGGAACUGACGCUGAGGAGCGAAAAGCGUGGGGGAGCGAAACAGG